UCGAGUAACACAUAUUAGUAACAACACCAGCAACUCAUUAAUUUUUGACAAUUUGUAAAGCCUAAUUUUAUUGCCCUGGUGACCUUACCUUACCUCAAUAUGUAAGGAAUCAGCCCAAGAAAAUGAACUAUAUGCAGUCCCUUUGGCAAGAAAGAGCAGGAAAGACACUGCUGAAAAAUGAUCGUCUAGGCUUCUAUUUAAUAUGAAUUCAUAUACAGGGAGCCUCUGAAUACUGCUUUCCCUUUUAAUGCCACGAUAUCCAAUUAGUUGAUGUGAUUUGGGUGAUCUACCAGACUGCCACUCCCAGAAAUUGCACUUUCCCUACCAAGUAUUAAUAACCCUACAUAACAACAAUUAGAGAUCAACACAAUACUACAUGUUUCAAUAACAUAUAACUUAAAUUGUUUAGCUUCUUAAACACAAAACUCAUGCUUUAACUUCCCAAGAACACACUAAUUAUCUACAGAAGCAAAAUGUGUCACUCAUACCUUGUUGCAAAGUAAAUGCUGAAAACCAAAAUGUUAAAUCAAAAGGGAGAAAAGUGAAACACAAUUCCAUUGUUGUCAUGGAUCAGUCAAAGUCGCCAUGACAACUUUGAGUGAGCCAUGGUUGCUAACACAUCAGUUCUGACAGAGAAAAGAGAUACCAAAAGCUCCCCCAGUGCCUCCAACUCUACCCCUAGUCAAAGAACAUCAUUUGCACCUUCUUUCACAUAUCUACUACUUAUCCAAAUGUAGUAAAUAAAAUAAAAAUAAAAAGUAAAGUAUUACCUCCCAUCAUCAACAUCAAUAUCUCAAGUAACAAAUGAAAGCAUCAAGGCCCUUAUCCUGAACUGCUCUAAACUGCUGGUGCAUUUGAAUCUACUACAGUAUUCCUACAAGAUGGCCCUAAAAUUUUUCAAAAAAAAUAAAAGUCUUUCAACUAGCAUACCAACAUACAGAUUGCCACAAAGGAGAUUGCAAAUGGAUUCAAAGCUGAACUGAAGUAAACACUUACCGAAUUAACAUAGGCACGGGC
rnacentral:lncRNA from 1 species